AACGAACGCUGGCGGCAGGCCUAACACAUGCAAGUCGAGCGAGCAUUUCGGUGCUAGCGGCGGACGGGUGCGUAACGCGUGGGAACGUGCCCUUUUCUGCGGAAUAGUCCUGGGAAACUGGGGGUAAUACCGCAUACGCCCUUUUGGGGAAAGAUUUAUCGGAGAAGGAUCGGCCCGCGUUGGAUUAGGUAGUUGGUGGGGUAAUGGCCCACCAAGCCGACGAUCCAUAGCUGGUUUGAGAGGAUGAUCAGCCACACUGGGACUGAGACACGGCCCAGACUCCUACGGGAGGCAGCAGUGGGGAAUCUUAGACAAUGGGGGCAACCCUGAUCUAGCCAUGCCGCGUGAGUGAUGAAGGCCUUAGGGUUGUAAAGCUCUUUCAGCUGGGAAGAUAAUGACGGUACCAGCAGAAGAAGCCCCGGCUAACUCCGUG
rnacentral:rRNA from 1 species